CUUUAUUGGAGAGUUUGAUCCUGGCUCAGGAUGAACGCUGGCGGCGUGCCUAAUACAUGCAAGUCGAGCGAACGAA
rnacentral:rRNA from 1 species